rnacentral:rRNA from 1 species
AUUGAACGCUGGCGGCAUGCUUUACACAUGCAAGUCGAACGGUAACAGGCCGCAAGGUGCUGACGAGUGGCGAACGGGUGAGUAAUGCAUCGGAACGUGCCCAGUCGUGGGGGAUAACGCAGCGAAAGCUGUGCUAAUACCGCAUACGAUCUGUGGAUGAAAGCGGGGGACCGAAAGGCCUCGCGCGAUUGGAGCGGCCGAUGUCAGAUUAGGUAGUUGGUGGGGUAAAGGCUCACCAAGCCAACGAUCUGUAGCUGGUCUGAGAGGACGACCAGCCACACUGGGACUGAGAAACGGCCCAGACUCGUACGGGAGGCAGCAGUGGGGAAUUUUGGACAAUGGGCGCAAGCCUGAUCCAGCAAUGCCGCGUGCAGGAAGAAGGCCUUCGGGUUGUAAACUGCUUUUGUACGGAGCGAAAAGGCUCUCUCUAAUACAGGGGGCUCAUGACGGUACCGUAAGAAUAAGCACCGGCUAACUACGUGCCAGCAGCCGCCGCCGUAA